ensembl:lncRNA
CAUAAAGUGACACAAUAACCCUGUGUUUAGAUAAUCAAAACAAACAGAUAUACUAUCCAACUUUUUAUAUCCUUAAGACCUCAACAUGAAAAUCUAAUCAUAGCUGCAAAGAUUGGUUGUGGUUUGUUGCCAAAAGCAGUGCCCAUGUCCCACCCUAGCCCCUAAGUCCUGAGAUGACUCUGAUGAAUGCAGUGCAAUCUUUUUUAUAACUGUUUUGCAAUGAUCUAUUUUCAGAGAGGAUACUUCUCAUUCCAUUUAUUCCCAUUUUUCACCUUUCAUGACGCGCUGUGCAGGACAACUGUGAAAAUAAGCACAGACCUCUCUUCUGGUUGAUUGCCAAGUGAAAAUGUGAACCUGGACUCAGUGGAGCUUAUGUGCCUGAGAAUCUCAUUCCCUCCAAACAGUGGUCAAGGAAACAUCUUCCCUGGAGACACCAAGCAGCAGACACUGUGUUUUAAAGUGAUUUAAAACAAAAACAGAGGUUCCUCUAUUUGACCACCAAGUUCAACUGAAUACAAAUACUUUAAAUCCAAACAAGCCCUCCAAGCUUCCAGGAAACGGUUCCUCCAGAGGUGAAACAGCAAGACCAGAGACUGGAGAGUCAGAACAGACUUGUCCCUUCUUGUUUGCUUACCACUGUUACCAGCGUUGCCCAGUUCACUCCAUCACUUUGGCAGUGACAGUCAGAAAUUUAUAGCAGAAAUGAUCCCAGGAACCAGCAUGUUCAAUUCCAUUAGAGAUGGACUUUUAAGAUCGCCUUGGUGCUCUUCUUUCUGGUCACUAACUGAGCUCCCUGCCAAUGGGACGCACAAAGAACUGGAUGGCCAACCUUCAGAAUGCUGAUCAGUGGCCUGGCUGUUGUCCCCACAGUAGUCUGCAAAAUCGAUCCCAGGAGUUUUAUCAAUGGCUUGAAUAGUAAUGGCAUCGGUAAUGUACUAAGCCAGGCGUCAAUGUCAAGAAGGUGAGAUGCUAGCUAAAAUCUUUCCACAGACAAAUCGGAGCUCAAAAAGAUCUGAAUAAACACACCAAGGAGAUCACUGAGGGUGCCUUGGCCUGAUGCAUAAGAUGAGGGGAGCUCGGUACAUGUGACAAGAAUUGGGGCUUUUUGUUGACUGAAGAUUCAGUGCAAGUCAUUCAUAUGAUGUGUUUGUCCUGAGUGCGUGUCAAGGAAUCUUCUGAUACUCUCUCUUAGCUCCCUGUGCAGAAUCCUAUUACAGUGCUUAUCUCUCCAACUUUCGAUUGCCUGUCUUUCCUCUCAUAUUGUAAGCUCCUUGAGGGCAGAGGCUAUCUGUUCCUUUUUUUGUUGUUUUAUUUUUAAUCCAAAAUCUCUCAUAAUAUAUAACCAUUGUAGGAACAUAAUGCCAACUAUCCAAGUGAAGUGGACUAUAGCUUCCAACUACAAAACUCACAACUAUUUAUAAUAAACCAAAAUGAAGUUAUCCGAAUAUUUCAAUACCACACAUAUUGUAUUAAAGAUGAAGUAAGUAAAGUUCUUGAAUCUGAUGCUGUAAGAAGACACCAAUGAACUGACUAUAAGGGAUCAAUGUGCUCUUAGAGGU